rnacentral:lncRNA from 1 species
GAUAAGCAACACAAAUGAGAAAUAGUUAUUCCUCUUUAUAUCAUAAAAGUGAAUUUUUUUAAAUAAAUAAAUUAACACUCGAUCCGGAUUUCACACAUCUUUUAUUUAUUAAAAAUGAAAAAAAGACAACAUAGAAUAAAGUCUUAUUGGCACUUAACCAAAUUAUUUAGUUGAUACUUCCCUCUCCCUCCACAUAUAUACAUAUAAAAUAUACUCAAAGGUAAAACACAUGCAAAUCACAUCACAAAUUAGCAUGAUGUUUAAUGUGAUCCUCAUGCAGAUUUCGCCGGUGGAGGAAUGGGGGGAGUGUGGCGAAUAUUGGCUCCUGGAUCUGAAUAAUCAUUCAACUCCGAAUCCUGCCUCCUAUUUCCAAGUCCUCUGAUUCCCUGUAACUUCCAUGAAUCCAAAACUUUUUAAAAAUUAUUCAAUAACUUCAUCUUCACAUACAUAUUUCCAUUAUCAAUGAUUAUUACCUGGUCGGUGUUCGUAGAAGAUAACACAUCUUCGACGCCAUGAAGCAGAACUCUGGCGCCUGUAAUUUCAAGAAACGAAGAAGAAGAAGAACAGUAGCAGUAAUCAUGCUUAUUCAAGAACACAAUAAAAGAUUAACAAUUGACAAAAGUUAGUGGAUUUACUUGUUGGUGCCGCAUUCUGGAUGAGAAUAAAUUGAGAAAGUAGCAGCAGGAUUACAAAUUGACGGACCAGAUUAAUGCUCGCCAUUUUUCUAAUCAAGUCUUGAGAUGGCGUUUAGGUUCUAAAAUCUGGAGGAAUGAUGUUUACUAUACAACAUAUGCCUGCAUAUAUAUCAUAUCCGAUUAC